rnacentral:rRNA from 1 species
GUAGGGAAUCUUGCGCAAUGGGCGAAAGCCUGACGCAGCCAUGCCGCGUGAAUGAUGAAGGUCUUAGGAUUGUAAAAUUCUUUCACCGGGGACGAUAAUGACGGUACCCGGAGAAGAAGCUCCGGCUAACUUCGUGCCAGCAGCCGCGGGAAUACGAAGGGGGCUAGCGUUGCUCGGAAUUACUGGGCGUAAAGGGCGCGUAGGCGGAUAUUUAAGUCGGGGGUGAAAGCCCGGGGCUCAACCUCGGAAUAGCCUUCGAUACUGGAUAUCUUGAGUACGGGAGAGGUGUGUGGAACUCCGAGUGUAGAGGUGAAAUUCGUAGAUAUUCGGAAGAACACCAGUGGCGAAGGCGACACACUGGCCCGUUACUGACGCUGAGGCGCGAAAGCGUGGGGAGCAAACAGGAUUAGAAACCCCAGUAGUCC